rnacentral:rRNA from 1 species
GACGAACGCUGGCGGCGUGCUUAACACAUGCAAGUCGAACGGUGAAGCGCCUUCCUUUUUGGUGGGUGUGGAUGAGUGGCGAACGGGUGAGUAACACGUGAGUAACCUGCCCCCUUCUUCUGGAUAACCGCAUGAAAGUGUGGCUAAUACGGGAUAUUCUGGGUCUGUCGCAUGAUGGGUCUGGGAAAGAUAUUGUUUCGGUGGGGGAUGGGCUCGCGGCCUAUCAGCUUGUUGGUGGGGUGAUGGCCUACCAAGGCGGUGACGGGUAGCCGGCCUGAGAGGGUGGACGGUCACACUGGGGCUGAGACACGGCCCAGACUCCUACGGGAGGCAGCAGUGAGGAAUAUGGCACAAUGGGCGGAAGCCUGAUGCAGCGACGCCGCGGGAGGGAUGGAGGCCUUCGGGUUGUGAACCUCUUUCGCCAGUGAAGCAGGCCUGCCUCGUUUGUGGGUGGGUUGACGGUAGCUGGAUAAGAAGCGCCGGCUAACUACGUG